AGCACCGUCGUAUCGCACAUUUGAGUCGUUCGUUGUCCGCAAGCCAGAAGGGUCGUGCCCACGAUUGUGCGUGAUAGUGCCAGUGUUAAAUCCACGUUCUCGGGUGCCAGUGGAAAAGGGCACGCCGACGCCAUUGAAAAAUCCUCCUGGCAACUAUUUGCAGCGUUUCCGAAUCGGAACAAUCAGUUUGAUUGAUUGGGACACGUGGCCCACUACCUCCGGAUUCGUACUGAAAAUAAGUGGCCUCGCACCUCUGGUAUCACGGAUAGGGACGCAUGCGACACUUUCCCGCUGACGACCGUACUAUAGCCUGCAACGAAACGGGCAUUGGCAACUACGGAAAUAAGUGCCAGUAGCAUCGUGCACUCGGCGAAUAACGGGUUUCCGAAUCAAUCCGAACCGGUUGGUCAAAAAGGUCGGCGUCAGUGUCAAAUUGACUGCGAGACAGAAAAAUCCCCCGAAAGGAUAAGUUACUAUUUAAUUUGCCGAAUCAAUGGAGAUAUCUGACGUGCGUGCAACUCCACAGAGUGUUUUUUAGAUAGCUGCAGUCCGGAUUCGAUUAGCGGUGAGGCUCUGCCAGAAGCGGACCGUAACGAGGCAGUGAUCUCCACCAGAGCAGGAAGGCUGAAACCGGGACAAUCCGGGAAGCGUGGCAUCGACGGUCGGUCAUUCGGUCCUGCGUUUUUGAAAGGAGCCCAACGAGACCACGACCACGCGCGGCGAGCGAAAGGUGGACGGAUCCUUUCCUGCCAACCGACGAGCCGAAGAAUCGGCCACUGUUGUCAUGUUGCCACUGCCGACAUGGUAAAGGGGAUGCGGCGUAGGUUUAGCGUAAGCUCCGGUACCGUGAGUAACAAUCUCUUAGUCUUAAGAUAAAGAAAAUGUUAUCUUGGUUCCAGCAACCACCAUUUGCUAGGGAAAGCAUGGGGACAUAAAAUGUGCGUUUCAAUAUACUGAUGUAAAGCUAAAA